UUUUUCUCUUUAUACGUUGGUGUUCUAACCAACAAUCGUCGAUACGGUUUUCUGUCCGAGCAAUCAGAAAACCAACCAACGAAUGCCGAAGCUCUGCCUGAAUAAGGCGAGACUUUGUGAAUCUACUUUGUGGUUUUUAUCUCACGCCCAUCGUUAGGCUUGAUUCGGUUUUACACUAAUACGUAUUAUACUCUGUUAAUCUAGACGUUUAAUUAUCAGAAGGCUCAGAACCAUAGAGUUACUGUUAAUUUAGAUGCUUGAUUAUCAGACUAUAGACUUACAAGGUGAUUUACAGUAAAUCUGAAUAAGAGUUGUUACACGGCACCAAAAGGCUUAAAGGAUUGGCUUGUUUUAUCAAUUAAAUUAAAAAAUGUUCUUUUAUAUUUUCGGGUUUGUUCCCUAUUAAAUCUU
rnacentral:lncRNA from 1 species